rnacentral:rRNA from 1 species
ACGGGUGCGUAACGCGUGGGAAUCUGCCCUUGGGUUCGGAAUAACAGUUAGAAAUGACUGCUAAUACCGGAUGAUGUCUUCGGACCAAAGAUUUAUCGCCCAAGGAUGAGCCCGCGUAAGAUUAGCUAGUUGGUGGGGUAAUGGCCCACCAAGGCGACGAUCUUUAGCUGGUCUGAGAGGAUGAUCAGCCACACUGGGACUGAGACACGGCCCAGACUCCUACGGGAGGCAGCAGUGGGGAAUAUUGGACAAUGGGCGAAAGCCUGAUCCAGCAAUGCCGCGUGAGUGAUGAAGGCCUUAGGGUUGUAAAGCUCUUUUACCAGGGAUGAUAAUGACAGUACCUGGAGAAUAAGCUCCGGCUAACUCCGUGCCAGCAGCCGCGGUAAUACGGAGGGAGCUAGCGUUGUUCGGAAUUACUGGGCGUAAAGCGUACGUAGGCGGUUAUUCAAGUCAGAGGUGAAAGCCCGGGGCUCAACCCCGGAACUGCCUUUGAAACUAGAUAGCUAGAGUCUUGGAGAGGUUAGUGGAAUUCCGAGUGUAGAGGUGAAAUUCGUAGA